rnacentral:lncRNA from 1 species
UUAUUUCUUUUAUUCCAUUUCAUUUCAAAAAAUCAUAUCUCACUCAUUAUUGGUCCAAAAAUGUGAGACCAAUUGCAUUAUUUCUCUUUUGAUUUCUAGUUUAUAAAAAUGAUUUUUAAUAUUUUUUAUUUUAUCAUUUGAUAUUUUUUAUGAAUUUUCUCUUUUCUGGUUAUUUUUAAUUCAUUUUAAAUAGUUUUCAAUAUCCAAA